rnacentral:rRNA from 1 species
AUGUCAAGUUCGGGUAGAAAGUAUCCAUCCGGAGGUCAUAAAAGUAAAAAGAAGGAGGCAGAUGAGGAGAAAGAUGCAUUGAGUGGAUUUCUUUUUAAAUAUUAUAAGAGCGAUACAAGCACUCCAAAAAAUCCAGACGAGUUGGCAAUAGUUCUUGCGGGUGGCCAAACUAAUGGCAAUCAGGAAGAUGAUGGUCAUACUCGCACAGAAGGCAAUGUUGAUGUCAACAUGGAUGAUAGCAAUGUGAGUGAUCAUGAGCCCAUAUUUAAUUCAUCUACGGCAGAAUCUACUAGUGUUGAUUAG